rnacentral:lncRNA from 1 species
ACUAAACAAUUCAAAAUUUGGUGACUAUGUGGAACGCAUCUAUCCCAUCGAAUUGGAGAUAAAGGAUACUACAGAUACAGUUAAGUCGGCUUCAUAUCUUCACUUACAUCUAGAAAUUGACAAUGAGGGUCGGUUGAAAACAAAACUUUACGACAAAAGAGAUGAUUUCAGCUUUCCAAUUGUGAACUUUCCAUUUCUAAG